UAUAAUCUAGUAUAAGAUGUACAUAAAUUUUUGAAAUUUAUAGAAAUAAUUUAAUUUUAUUGAUUAUAA
rnacentral:tRNA from 1 species